UAGUGAGGUCUUCGGAUCGGCUUCGGCAGGCCGGAAACGGCUCGCUGUUGCUGAAAAGUUGAUCAAACUUGGUCAUUUAGAGGAAGUAAAAGUCGUAACAAGGUUUCCGUAGGUGAACCUGCGGAAGGAUCAUUACCGAGUCGUCGACACGAGUUGUUGCUGGCCCCUCAAACGGGGGGCAUGUGCACGCUCUGUUAACACAUCCACUCACACCUGUGCACACUCCGUAGUUCUAUGGUCUGGGGGACAUGCCGUCUUCCUCCUGUAGUUCUGCGUCUUUACACAUACACUGUAGAAAAGUCUUAUGGAAUGCUUACCGCGUCUAACGCAAUACAAUACAACUUUCAGCAACGGAUCUCUUGGCUCUCGCAUCGAUGAAGAACGCAGCGAAAUGCGAUAAGUAAUGUGAAUUGCAGAAUUCAGUGAAUCAUCGAAUCUUUGAACGCACCUUGCGCCCCUUGGCUAUUCCGAGGGGCAUGCCUGUUUGAGUAUCAUGAACACCUCAACUCUUGUGGUUCGCCAUGAAGAGCUUGGACUUGGGGGCUUGCUGGCGCACAGCCGGCUCCUCUCAAAUGAAUUAGCCUGCCAGUGUUUGGUGGCGUCACGGGUGUGAUAACUAUUUACGCUUGUGGUUGCCUGCCAGGUAACCUUCGGUGACGGAGGUUCGCUGGAGCUUAUAAACGUCUUUCCUUGGUGAAGACAGCUUUUUGAACGUUCGAUCUCAAAUCAGGUAGGACUACCCGCUGAACUUAAGCAUAUCAAUAAGCGGAGGAAAAGAAACUAACAAGGAUUCCCCUAGUAACUGCGAGUGAAGCGGGAAGAGCUCAAAUUUAAAAUCUGGCUGCCUCUGGUUGCCCGAGUUGUAGUCUGGAGAAGCGCUUUCCGUGUUGGACCGUGUAUAAGUCUCUUGGAACAGGGCGUCAUANAGGGUGAGAAUCCCGUCUUUGACACGGACUACCAAUGCUUUGUGAUGCGCUCUCAAAGAGUCGAGUUG
rnacentral:rRNA from 1 species